AGCUAGUUCCAGAUGAAUGGACACUAGUAGCACAGGGCAGCCUGUGAGGCCCGUCGAAGAGGGGGAGGAGGAACAGAGCAGCCUUUGGAUGGUGUCUGCCCCCAGCGCCGGCCCUGGAAACAAUUAAUGAGGGGAAGGGAGCCAAAGGGAAGCAAGGACGGAAGAAAAGUCCUCCCAGACUGGGUGACUCACAUAGCUGCUGGGUUUGCCUCUCCCUAGGCAUUUGAGGGGACUGAGGACAGUAGAGGGUGUGGGCUUGGAGAAAAAGGCAGAUUCUGGCAAGCUCUCCCUCUUUCCAGGAUGGGAGCCCUUUCAUCCUUCUAUAUUUCAUCCUUUUAUAUUUAUGGAUCAAGGGCUAUAAUCCCCCCACUGGGGACCAUAAAGCUAUCAAUAUCAGAUGCCCUAGCUUUGGGGGUCCCAGUGGGACCCUAUCUUUGGGUCCCAGUGCUCUGGGCUCCUCCAGUUUUAUUGUUAAAUAUUCCUCUUUUCUGCCCUUUGACUUCAGGCUAUUCCUGAAAUUUGUCCCUUCCCAGGCCAUCACUUGGUGGUUAUGAAAUAGGCCACACACUGGCAACUCUCAGAUGGGCUGUGUAAGGUUGAGUUCUGUAUUGUCAUUGAACAAUCAGGAAGUUUCACUGUUGAAACUUCACUCACUCCUAUAGUUGGCCAGAGCUGAGUAGGGGUCCUGCCUCUGGACAGGGCUUGGGUGCUCCUGUGCCCUAAACACAACCUCUGCCCCCGCCCCAUCUUCUCCCAGACCCUCCACCUGCCCACUGCUGCUCUUGAUCUUCUCCCACUCUUAUUUGUUCAUAUUGCCACACAGUCACCCUGAAAGCAAUUGAGUUUGCGACCCCAGAGCGGGUAGGUAAGGGGAGCACCUCGUCUCCCAACUUCUGUGUUUCUAUGUGAAGAACGUUUCAAGUGACACUCUGGCUUUUCUCCUUCCCCUGACCUGGUAAGUUUGGAAGAAGGGCCCAGGCACAGCCAGCUCAGCCCCUGCAUCUCCAGACUGCUGGCCAAGAGGAGGGUUCCUAAUGGCUCAGCUCUCCCUGGAGGAGACCACUGAGGUUGUCUGUCACUGCCUGCACCCAGGAGGUCAUGUUGGCCUAACUCAGGGGUGAAAGGUUAGCAAGCUAACUUGGCUGCAGAUUAAGCCACGUUUUUCAGUUGUCUUUAUCAGGGAUCCACGUGACAUUUCCAUCAGGUAUCCAGAUACAUGGAUCAGAGAAGAGAGCUGUGGUUCCUGUGGUGAAGGCUAUAGUUGGUAUGUAGUUCAUGUGUUGAUGUGCAUUUAGCUUAGGAACAGCAAACUUCUGACCGUGAGUGCUGCCUGAGACUCUCCUGUCCUCAUGGAUGCAUGCACAGCCAUGGGCCCCAGUUUCACCAGCCCUUCAUCUGUAUGGGAGGAUGUCAGCCCUGAACAAAAUCCUCUCCCUGGAAAUUAAACCUCAAGGGGCAUCUGUGUCACUCUCACCCUUGGCCUGUGUGUGUACAGCUUCUGACCCCGUGAUGUUCCUGCUUAUGUAGUUGCUCGGCGACAACCAGAGUAGUGGGGGCUGGAGUCCUCCCUGGAAAAGCUGACACCUGUCCUGGGGCAGGUUUCUCAGGCUGCCCCUUAAGUUUCCAUCCUGGUGGUGUCCAGGGUCUGCUGGUUUCUCGGCAGGCCUCACGCACAAGAGCAGUUGUGUGCUCUGUGCAGAUGGAUUAGGAAGCCUUUAUUCGUUCUCACUUGGGGCCGUGCUUAGUCUAGCCCCAAAGUAGCUCAUGUUCCAUUGCUGGCCACGUGCUCUCUCUCCAUGGGCCUCUGUGAGAUUUAGAGGGGGGUCCACUCUUGACAUGGAUGCUUGACUGACCUCCCCUUCCCCCUCCCACCCAUCCUGGGGUCCUUCAAACCUCCUCUUUCCACAAAAAGUUCUUGAACUCCUACUCAUGCAAGCUGACUUCUCAAUGGCCAAUCCAACAGUCUUGUCCACACUGCAACAAAAGCCAACAUUUAUUGAGCCACACAGUGUUUUAACCACUUCAUGUGAGCUGAGACACCGAAUCUUCCCAGCAGCUCUGUGAGAUAGGUGUUGCUGUUAUUACAUUUUGUAGACUUGGAAACUGGCUCAAAGGGCCUCUGAGAUUUGCUCCAGGUCAUACACCUGGUGAGUUAUAGAGGUGCUGUUGAUAUAUGAGUAGUCUGGAUUCAGAGUCAAUCCUUUUAGCCUCCUUAGAUUGAAUCUGUGAUGUAGGCCAGGGAGGAGGCAAAAAGGAGAAGAAAAUUUAAGUUGGAAAUGAGUAAUAUUAAAAGGGAGACAAAAACGAAACAAUACCCAAGCAGGUUCCCCAGCUCCCAGGGCUUACCUGAGAAAUCAUUCCUUCACACUCUGUAGACCUUUCAGGGACCAGCUGUCUCUUCAUUUUACCAAAGAGGAAGCUAGGACCCAGAGCAGUAAGAAACUUUCCCCAGAUGAAAAUAUGUGUAUUUUGAGAGGAUAAGAGAAGGCAAAAUACAAAUGAAAAGUGCUUCUAAAGUCGAGACGGGGUGGACAAAUCUUUGUUUUGCCUUAUAAAUGGGAAAUGGAGGCUGAGAGAGAGAGAGUGACUUGCCCCAGAUUAAAAUGUGUGUAUUUCAAAGAGGAUAAGGGUAUUCCAAAAAGCUGGAGAGGAACUAGCCCGAAUGAACCUCUAAAAUGGAGAAGACUCCAUUUUGUGUUAUAAAUCGAAAGAAAAAUUUCUUUCUAUUACAUAAGAGCAGUUUGGGAAGUAUACUGGCCAUCAUCGCUAUUCAGUGAUGGUGAAAAUGGGAACCUUUGCCUAUUGAUUGAUCCCUUUGAGUCCCAUGUAAAAUCAACCAAUUUUCUAGCUGAAAUUUACUGGAAUUUGAGGCCAGAUGCUCUCAGAUUUCGUUAAUUAAAAGCACAUUCGAGGGGCUCAGUCUUGAAGGGCAGUUUGAGAGGCACGAUGACAAAGGUGUGCAUGGCCUUGGACUUGGGCAGGAUCCAUCUGUGUUUAGGCAUCAGGAGAGAUCAAUGAUUAGGGAGCACUAAGGCCUGCAGACAUUAGGCAUAUGUUUAAAUAUGAAUCACUGCAAAAGGCUGAGGUUAAUGUGAGCGCCUUUCACUUCCCUAAUAGAAAAUCGAGCCGGCCGCGCCUCUGCCCACAGACUCAGCGAUGCCCAUGUGGUUUCCGUGUGGUCAGAAGCAUUAGUUAGGGUCUUAUCCAUAUCUAUUAAGACGGAGGAAGCCCAUUUAGCAAAUUAAAAUUGUUUUUAUUUCCCCAGCUAAUUGUUUUCUAAUUGUUUAAGUAAAAGGUUUUGGUCUUGAUUAGAGGCUUUUAGUAAAUUAAAUCUGUUCACAUUUUACAAGUCUAAUAUUUAGAUCAUAGAGAGGCAGUUAUGGUUAGUGAGGUUUGCUAUGGCAAGGGUUUUGAAAUAUAAAUGUUGUUGCUGAAUGGGCCUCAGAGAUUUUCUGGUUCAAUACUUUCAUUCUACCCCUGGGGGAACCAAGGCCCAGAGAGGCUAAUGGACUUGUCAGAGGUCACACAGCUUGAGAGUAGGAAAAGCUAGGCCAGAGCUGUCAAGGUCUGCUACUCCCAGCUAAGCAAACAUUUUCAGGGGGGAACACCUCUGGUCAGUAGAGAAAGCUUUAAUUAAAUAUUUAACCUCAAAAAUAGCCCCCACACAGAAUAAAUGGGGCAUGCAGAAAUGUUAAUUAAUGUGUUUCACACCUUGAUGUAAAUUAUGUUUUCAGACUUCAUUUUAAACUGGUCAGUACUUGCUAUUUAACUGAGCAAUUGUUAUAGAAACUUUAACACACUGUUGUAAGAAUUUGAGCUAAGUGACCUAAAGGUACACACAUAAGCUUGCACAUGUUCCUUGAAAUAAAAUCAACAUAUUCCACUAUACUUUUUAGAAUGAAUGGUAAAAAAAUAUUGAUAAGACGUAGAAUUAAUUCCCCAAAGUGUGUUCCCUGGGGACUCUUAUGUGAUCCCCACAUAAAUCAGUGUAAUGGCAACAGAUCUGAGGAGGAGAAAAAGGAUUUCAUAAUUUAAUAAAGCUGGAAAACCCCAGUUUAGGCAAGGUUAAAUAGCUUAUUUCCUCUUUGUUUUCUUUUGCUGUUCCUCUCUCUCUUUUUCUCCACUUUCUUCCUUCCCUCCAUCCCUUCCUUCCUUCUUUUGUCUUCUGAUUUUUUUUUUUUUCUUUCCUUGACCACUCCUGGCCACUCUGAAGCGUCAGCAUUGUGAACCACAGGUCGGGGGUUUCUGACCUUGGGAGAGUCCAUCUCAGUUUCCACGUGGCAUCUGGGGAAGGCUGGCCCGAGUUACCCCAGAUAGUCCUUUCUGUCCACGAUUGUGGCCUGGCUCCCCUGGCCUUACUCACGGACCUACCCGAGAAGUCAGCCUUAUCUUCAGAUCCCAACAUCUGCACCUCCAUCCCUGUCUCUUGUUAAAAGCUCUGGCUUGGUCUCCUCACCCCUUCCCCCCGCAUCUGCCUCAAACUCCUUUUGCCCUCAGGCAAACCUCGGUGAUUCCCAGGAUUAUUUUAAAACUGGAAGGCCAUUCAGCCUCUCCAAAAACACAAAGACACACCUCCUGUUUCCAAUCAGACGGGGACACGGGCCUCCUUCAUUGGACGUUCUGCUGGAUCCCAGCACUGCGCCAGUUGCGAGUCCCAAGGAGACAAUGUACCUCACCCUCCCUGCGUCCUGGGACGGAUCUGUGAGGGCACCAGCGGUAGACCCAAACUUUCCCAGUCACUUCGGAUAUUAACGGCCUUGCAGAAAUCAGCUUCCCUGUCUUGAAAUAUGGAAUGACUGAGAAUACAGCCACAGGAUUUACUGCUCCUCCCAGCAUGCAGAUAUAAUUUUUACUUGGCUGCUGUGAUGACAAGAUUCAGUAAGGCAUUAGGCAAGCAAGUCUGCAUUACACAGCUAAAAUAUGAGAUGUCCCUGGACACUCAGCCCCUCUGAGAGGAUAUCUGAUUAGUCUUGGCCCCUCGGGGGGCAGGGAGAUGUUUGGAGUCUAAUUUCCAUUUGGCUGACUUGGAAAGUUGGGGACCAAUAUGGCUAAAUCUUUCUCUUGGGAUUUUUGGGGGAAGGU
rnacentral:lncRNA from 1 species